ACAUCCUUGUCCUCAAGGAUGAAGCUGCAGACUUCUUGUCCAUUCUUUGGCAAGUACUCCCAUGCACAAAACAAGACCUGCUUCCAUAGCAUCAACCCUAAAAACAAUAUCUUUUGUCAAUACGUAAUUAAGAUUCCCAACAUCUUCUUGAGGAUCCAUAUAUUCAAUUGCUGCUCCAAUCACAAGUGACAAAUGAACACUAAGGCAAGGAUUGCAUAGGAAUUCCAUGUAGCUGAUUUUGUACAAACUUGCACAA
rnacentral:misc_RNA from 1 species